AGAGUUUGAUCAUGGCUCAGAGCGAACGCUGGCGGCGUGCUUAACACAUGCAAGUCGAGUGCGUGUCCGUAGCAAUACGGAUGACGCACGGCGCACGGGUGCGUAACACGUGGGCAAUCUGCCCUCGGAUGGGGAUAACCCCGCGAAAGCGGGGCUAAUACCGCAUGAUAUUCCUGGGACCCCGGUCCCGGGACUCAAAG
rnacentral:rRNA from 1 species